UACACUCCUGCGGGAGGCAGCAGUGGGGAAUAUUGGCCAAUGGGCGCAAGCCUGAUCCAGCCAUGCCGCGUGAGUGAUGAAGGCCCUAGGGUUGUAAAGCUCUUUCACCGGUGAAGAUAAUGACGGUAACCGGAGAAGAAGCCCCGGCUAACUUCGUGCCAGCAGCCGCGGUAAUACGAAGGGGGCUAGCGUUGUUCGGAUUUACUGGGCGUAAAGCGCACGUAGGCGGACUAUUAAGUCAGGGGUGAAAUCCCGGGGCUCAACCCCGGAACUGCCUUUGAUACUGGUAGUCUUGAGUUCGAGAGAGGUGAGUGGAAUUCCGAGUGUAGAGGUGAAAUUCGUAGAUAUUCGGAGGAACACCAGUGGCGAAGGCGGCUCACUGGCUCGAUACUGACGCUGAGGUGCGAAAGCGUGGGGAGCAAACAGGAUUAGAUACCCCGGUAGUCCCA
rnacentral:rRNA from 1 species